AUUUUUAUUCUAGUGGAUGAGUAACAAAUAAAGAAAAGGGUGAGACUAAAUAAAAGUUACAAUUUCUUUCUUUAUUUAAUACUUUAAAUGACAUUUAGACACAUUCUCUCCCAAGCUGCACAGAAAAAUAACAACUUCAGUUCAACCAUUGACAUGUACUUCAAUGUAAGUCAAAAGUGCAUUCUGUGUAUGUAUAUGUGUAUGUAUUUUUAUCUGACAGUGAGGAAUUAUUUACAACUUUUAUUUAUAUAUUUAAUAUUUUAUUUUAAUUGGAUUUUUAAAACUCUUGUUUGGCAUCAGGCUAUGGCUUGAGGUCACAUAAAGUGCUUCCAGCCAAGCAUCUUAAUCUAUUUUUGAUACCUUCCAUUCCAAAUGUGAAAAGAAAUAAUCUACAUAUGCUCAGAUUUUCUUUUUCUUUUACCCUUGUUUUGUUGAAUCUACUGAAGUGGAAUUUAGUCAUUCUUUUCCAAAUUAUAGAAAAUAUUCAGAAAUUACUGAUAUAUCAAAGCUUCAUCCAUGGCGUUGCAUAGAUACUGGUCAGGAAUUAAACCAUCUGGACUGAUCUGACCUAGGGAAAGAGUAGCUGAGCUUUUAGAUCUCCACUUAAUUCCAUGCCUUCCAGUGAGAUUCACUUCUGUUUGUGCCUGUUUCUGCACCUUUGAAUUUACAAACCGUGGGCAUCCUUUAAAUGCAUCUGACUCAAGCUCCAGUAGCCCCGAGGAAAAGCUUAGUACCCUGCAGUGCUGAGCUGGUCAAUGUGACAUUUUUCAACAUCUGGUCUGGAACAUUUUAAGGACUAUAAGUAAUUAGAUUAGCUUUUUCAUCCAACUUGCUUUUUGAUUUAUAUGCUGUGACAAAAUGUCCUCAGCAGGUUUUAUUUUUUUUUUCUCCUGGUGAUCUGUACUCACCAAAUAUACAGUAGGACUAAGAACUCCAGGUUGAUGACUGAACUAUGCCAUCCUGGGAAAGCAGAGGCUUUGUGUGCAACGAUUUCCUACAGCACAGGAGUGAAGAUGAGCGAGUGAACUGCAGCACCUCCAUCACCUGAGUCCCCACUGUCAGCCCACAAGGUAACAGCAAGGUGCUGCUCACGAUAAAAUCUGCAGAAAUAACUUCAGAUGCUCUAAAAGUGGUCAAUAUUUAUAAACCUAAAGAUAUAAAAAUGAAAUAAUACUUUUAGCGUAGAGAAUAUGUUGCUAAUGAUGCUGAGAUUGGUACCCUAGCACUGCAGUGAUGUUUAAUGUGGAAUGAGCUUGUGGUAUAACACCAGUGCUUUUCAGUAGUUUAAAAAUUAAAUUUUAAAUUAAAAAUGCUAGCAACGUAUGUCAAAUAAAUUUCAAGCAGUUUUUUGUUUAGAGGCCUAUAAUGCGAUCAAUGACUUACAGCUAGUUUCUGGGACAUCUUCACAGAUGAGGAAUUAUUGGUUGAGCACCAUGCACAUGUAUUGGGGAGUAAUACUUAUUAUAUAUAUAAAUAACUAUUACACAAGAUGUUAUUUCUUAAGUCUUGUUUGCCUCUAGUAUAAGCUGAAUUACAAACAACAAUGCAUAGGAAAAAGCAGGGAAGGAGGGGUAAUUGUCAUGCCAGGGCAAUCACUUACUAUGAGAAACCUAAAGUGACACCGUUAGAGGUGUAAAGGCAUGAAAAUUACAAGGAUGACAGUAGGAGAAUGACAUAGAAGGAAAAAAACACAAAACCUCACAGAAAUUUAGGCAAAAGAUUACAGAGCCGUAAGUGAAAGAUGAACGGUAGGGUUGCAAAUCUGAGUCUUUAGCAUCACAAAGGUUAAGGCACAGAGUGACAGGGGGAACUUCAGGUAUUUCGUGGGACAUUCAUUAUUCCUGAAAGAGAGAGACACAAUCAAUAGAAAAAUAAAGAGACCUCUUGUAACUUGACAAGGUUUUACAAGUUCCCUUAAUUGCUCUGUUUCUUCCCCUUGCAUCUUUCAGAGCAAUAAUAAUUCCUGGCUCUACAUACCAAAGACAAGAAGCCAGCUUGACAGCUUCAGAGGAAUUUGGAUUUCAACUUAGAACUCCCCCAGGGACAGCAAGAACUGCUGCAGGAAAGGGAGUAAAUAUUAGGUGUAUGGCAGAUAUGCCAACCACUGUUGUUGAUGGAUGUGGAAGUGUAACCUCUUUGAGGAUAUUUAGAACCAAAGUAAUGCUGUGCUUUUUAGGUCUUGCUGAGCCUGAGAUAAUUUCAUGGCCAUUGUCUGCUGUCAUGCAAACUGUCACUGAAUGAGUGAGUGUUCCAGAUGCUUGGUCAGCCAAAGUGCUAACUAAUUUUAUCCACUUCCGUGUCAGUGCUUUCCUUCCUGAAUUCUGGAGCAAUUAGAGAUACUGUCUCAACCAUGUUACCUCUGUCUUCAAUUUUAUCAUCCUCUUCUGUUCUACACACUUUUCACUGUUCUUUUUCAAAACUCAGCAAUUUCCUCCACAGUCAAAGCCAAAGUUAUACAGCUGGGCCAUGUUAGUGGCUUUCCAUUAUUGGCACCCAGGUAACCAAGUCCUGGGACAGGUUACAGAAAGCUAAAGAGAGACCUAGAUUGUCUACCAUUUCAUGUUCCGCAUCAGCAUAAGAUAAAUGAAACAAGGAAUAGAAACUACAGCACAGACUUUACUGUAUGCUGAAAUUUCUCUCCAGAAAAUCUUUUAAAUGUUAUUUUAAAGAACUUCUGAGGUAAGUAGCUUGAGUUUUUCUUUGCUCCUCCCAAAUAGGAUUGUUGCUGUUACUCAGAUAGCUCUGUGCUUGUCAGAUGAUCCUGAAGUAGAGGUGCAAAAUGUUUGAAAAGCUAAGGAAGAAUCCCUGCAAUGAGUUUGUCUUUACUUGUUGACCAGUAUCCAUUCAUAAACACAAUGGCCCCUUGCAUUGUCCCUGCACAGGCUAGAUCAUUAUAAAACUUACGGUAAUGUCUCUUAUUUUUCAAAAUUUUCUAUGGAAGUGAGCAAUAUUUUAAACCUUACAUAAA
ensembl:lncRNA